AUACAAUAUGUAUACGCUGAAAUCUAAUAAAUGAUACUAGGGAUUUAUUUGGUUCAUAUACGAUCUUGAUAAUUCGGUUCAAGUUCGGUCUAAGUGGAGUAACCUGUUGAAACAUACAAAAUUGGGAAGGAAAUUGGAAACUCGUGAAAAUAUUAGUUUCACAAUGUCAAAUCUGGUAUACCCUUUUACAAAACUCUGUAACAGGUAUUUCCACACAAAUGGUUGGGUUUAGUAUGAUUUAGGUUCGGUUCAGAUUCGAUUUUGGUGGAUUACGUUUUACUUGGUUUGGUUCAAAUUGAGGAUUUUAAUUUAAAAUUGAAUCCAAAACAAGAUAAAUUUGUACCUUUCAGAAAGAAGGCAAACCGGAUUUCUUUCUGUUUCAGUUCGGUUUGGUUUUAAUCGACCGGUUUCGGUUCCAGUUCUCUUGCUGUACUUUCUCGUAAAUUUAAUUAUAGUUUUGUAUAAUCUAGUAAUGUAUGGGGUUAUCCCACGUGGGAGGUGAGGACUGACGAGUACAGCCGUAGGCACGUGGCAUAGAGCGUCUUCCUCUUCCCCUUACGGUGAACGUCAGGCUAACGGAACAUCUUCAAGAAAAAUAAAAUGGACGGUGGAGAGUGCAGACCGUCUUCUCUGUGAUCUCUCACUAUAUCGGCCACUGUUCUUUGCUCUCUCACCAUCUUACAGUCACAAUCAUAGUCUGAUUCACAUUCAAAGCUCGAAUAUGAUCCCUGUACUCCUAUAUCGGUGUCAGUUUGUCUUUGCGCCAUCGGGUAUUGGACAUUUGGACUCUUUCUCUUUUCCAAUUGGGAUUCAAUUUUGUGAUAAUAGCCUGGCGAUGACGGAAAGGCAAAAUAUAGUCAUCUUUGCAUGAUCAUGUCUGGUUUUAGUUAAAGAGUAUGGGAUCAACUCUGUAGAUUCUAAGAUUUUGGAUUUCUCUUUACUGUUCUUGAAGUUAAAAUAUUGGGUUUUUCUUCACAGUUGUUUCUGGGUUUUUGAAGGCAUUGUUUAUUUUAUUUAUUUAUUUUUUUUUUCCCAUCUCUAUUAGUUCGUAGAGAGAGUGGGUGAUUUGUUUGUGUCAGAUUUUCAACUGGUUUUAUUUAAAAGGAGUUGCUUUGUUGUUUGUCAGUAUAUUCUUGGGGCUUACCUUAUUCAAAUGGGCAAAAUGGUCUCCCUGCAACGCCCACCCUUUUUUCUCUCUUUAUAAUUUGUUAACUUUAACGAUUCUCUUAGUCAAAAUGUAGAAUUUUCUGUGUAUGAAAGUAUUGAGUUCUCAAUGGAGUCGCUUAGAUUUAAGUUGAAGCAUAGAAAUGUGGGAGUCAUCCUCAAAAUGAAAAUUUUGCUUUCUUAUGCAUUCUACAUGAUAUUCUUGCAUUUAUAUUAAUGUAAUUAGCGGUUGGCGAGUCACAUAUUCCUUUGUCAAUUUGGUCAGGAAUAGUUGUUGGCGUUCAGUAAUCAGUACAGGUUAUUUUGCGUGUUAGUGCUUUGCUUGGAUUCUACCUCCAAUUGAAUUUAUUUUCACUCUGAUUUUUCCACGUGGGACUCAUUGGUCACUGUGAUUUGUUACCCAAAAGUGGAAGUAUGGUUUCUCAGCUGCACAACUCCCCCUGCAGAAGUGGGAAAUAUCAGUCCUUGCUGACAAUUCUAAAGGGAUUCUGAAGGGAUAAUUACUUUAGGGACCCAUUACUUUAUUCUGUUCACUCAUAAGGAUAACAAGGUUGGAUCCAUCUUAUAAUUUAGAAGCAUACAGCUGUUUGCAUCAACAUAAAAGUCAUACUGUUGACUGCUAGGCCUUGUGCAUUGUGAAUUUGAGAGCUUUAGUAUAUUUCAGAUGCACUAUGAAAGAAAUUGUCAUGGUGGGUACGCCAUUUUUUUAUGAAAGAAAUUAUCUAAAUCUAUCCCCAUGUCAAAUCGUCUUUCCGUGGUUUUAUGUUUCCAUUUCAUCAGCUUUUUUAUUUUUAUAUUUUAAUCCCUGAGAAGAGCAUAUCAGUACACGAGGCUCCCGCUAAUGCAGGGUCUGGGAGGGGCAAAUGUACGAAGCCUUACCUCCACUUAUCUGUGAAAUUAAUUGGUGGCAGAUAUGAUUCCUGUGAAUUGGCACUUUUGCCCCAGUCCUUUUUAUCUCCUGUAGAUUCUGUAAGAUGGCUUUGUAAGAGAGCACAACAGGGACUUCCACUGGAUGGACUAAUACAGCGGAUUAUAAUAAUUUUCCAGACUUCUUGCCAUAACUUUAUGACAGUUGUCAUAUCUGAGUACACAGAAUGCUGCUGUAUAAACUUGUUAUUUGGCCAAUCGUCUAGUACUGAAUAUUGUUUUGGUGCUAUCCUUUAGUGAAUUAGCCAAUGGUUGUGCAGCACAUAUAAGUGUCUUUAUUUGCAUUCUAUAAUGUUAAACAAAUACUUGAAGAUUUUCUUAUAUGUGCCAUUUGAUGGUAAGGACAUACUUUUGUUGGCUAAGUCACCGCCAAAGUGUGCUUCUGGUUUAUCUUUCUGCUCCAGAUGGAAGUAAUUUCUCUCAAUAGUGAAGCAUUGUUUGAGGAUGAAGGCUUUGUCCAUGUUAUGUCAAGAAAUUGUGACAGAACAGGUUCUGAUGGUCAUCAUGAUGUGGAAAAUGAAAGGAAGGAACCUGUCCCACCAUGUGUAGGGAUGGAAUUUGACUCAUAUGAUGCUGCUUAUGACUUCUACAAUUGGUAUGCUAAGGAACAUGGAUUUGGCACUAGAGUUAGAUGCUCAUGGUUUAACAAAAAGAAUAGAGAGAAAUGAGGUGCGGUACUCAGUUGCAGUAGGGAAGGUUUCAAACAGAAGUGCGACACAACGCGUCCAAGAGCAGACACAAGAACUGGUUGUCCGGCAUUUCUGAGACUAAGGUUAAUGGACUCUGGAAAUUGGAGAGUGACUGAAGUGAGUCUUGAACAUAACCAUUUACUUAGUCCAGACAAUAUACAACUUUAUAGAUCACAUAAAAAUUUUGGUGCUGGAGUAAAUUUUGGUGCUGGAGUCAAAAGAAAAAGCCAGUUAGAUUAUGAAGAAAUUCAAAUAAAUAACCUGUAUCAAGUGCUUCCCCUGGAUAUAUUGGGUUAUGAAAACAUGCCUUUUGAUGAAAGAGAGGUCUUUCGUUGAGCUGAGCCAAGCAUAAGGUUAAAGCUGAAAGAAGGAGAUCCACAAGCUCUUUCAAAUUUUUUUUGCUUCAUGCAAUUGAUGAUCCCAGACUUCUUUUACUCGAUGGAUCACAACAAUGAAGGAAAUAUGAGGAAUGUGUUCUGGGCUGAUGCUAGGUCUUGGACAGCUUAUCGUUACUUUGGUGAGGUUGUUGCAGUUGACACUACAUGCUUGACAAGCAGCUAUGAGAUACCAUUUGUGUCAUUUCUUGGUGUAAAUCACCAUGGUCAGUUAGUGUUAUUGGGUUGUGGUUUGCUUGAAAGUGAGACAGUACAGUCAUUUUUUUGGUUGUUCAAGGCUUGGGUUACAUAUAUGUUAGGGCGCCCUCCAUCUGCUAUAAUCACUGACCAGUGCAGGGCCAUACAAAGAGCAGUCAAUUUAGCAUUCCCAACUUCCCGUCAUUAUAUUUCUGUUUGCCACAUCAUGCAGAAGGUUCCGGAGAAAUUGAAAGAACUGGGCGAGUAUGAAGCAAUCAAAUGUGCAUUGAGUAGAGCUGUUUAUGACUCUAUGAGAGUGCAUGAAUUCAAAAAUUCUUGGGAGGAUAUGAUACAGCGUUAUGCUCUUAGGAAUCAUCAAUGGCUUCGAGUGUUGUAUGAAGAUCGACAACGAUGGGCUCCUGUUUAUUUACAGGACACCUGUUUAGCUGGUCUUUCCACUAAUAAACGGAGUGUGGGAAUGGAUACAUAUUUUGAUGGAUACUUACAUCGACAAACUCCUUCUCGAAAAUUAUGAAGUUGCUUCACAAAAGAAGAUUGAGAAAGAAGCCAAAGCAGAUUAUGAGUCAUUGCAUUUAACUCCCAUAUUGAAAACAAAAUGUUCUUUUGAAUCACAGCUCUCAAAAUUUUAUACAAGGGAAAUAUUUAAGAAAUUCCAACAUGAAGUGGAGGCGAUUAUUUCAUGUUUUAAUACAACACAAGUGCAUGCUGACGGGUCAGUCAUAACAUACAUAGUUAAAGAACAUGUUGAGGGUGAGGACAGCAGGAGGGAGGUUAUGGAAUAUGAAGUUCUAUAUAAUACAGCUGUGGGGGAAAUUCAUUGUAUUUGCAAUUGGAUUCACUUUAAAGGUUAUUUAUGUAGACAUGCAUUAACUGUCCUCAAUUAUAAUGGUAUGGAGGAGAUCCCGUCUCAAUAUAUUCUAUCACGAUGGAGAAAGGAUUUUAAGCACCAAUGUAUUCAGGAUCAUGGCUCUGAAAACGUUGAUGUCAAGAACCCAGUUGAAUGGUGUCAUCAUUUAAAUAAAUGUGCUCUACAAAUUAUUGACAAAUGUUUGACCUCUCAGGAACAUUACAAGGUUGCUCUGCAAGCAUUGAAUGAAUCACUGGAUAAGGUUCACUGGAUGAAUCGUUGAACAAUGUGUUUCAUGUCUGGGACACCUACCGCAGCAGAACUGAGUAUAAUAAUGGCUGUGAGAUCCUUUUGAGGUGAAACCUUACUUCACAAAGGCUAAGAAGAUCCCAAUCCGACAUCCAUUGUUGAGAAUCUUCGAACUUGAAAUAAGAAUGCUCACAGGUCAUUGCAUUUCAACAAAGAGAAUUGUCAGUGCUCAUCUUCAGUUCUUCACUUUGCAAUCAUGGUUGGCCAGAGCUCUAUCAAACCAUACAAUGUUUCUUGAUGUAGAAUUCUCAACAUGGGUGUCUUCCGGACGAGCCUUAUGGAAGAGCUCCAUUUCAAAUGUUUUGACAAGGUUUUGCACCGUCUCUUCCAAGGAUCCCUUGGGCCAUUCCUACAAAAGCAAGGCGGCAGGAUCAGUACUUAAGAGGUGCGAGGGAUGAAGAGCUAGAUUUCCCAAGGAGGCAAGCUCCACUUGUUAAGAAGAAAAUUUUCCUUCAUCGUGGGUGAAGGAAACACCUCGGUGAUGAAGGAAUUUCAUGGGCGAAAGAUACCUCGGUUCGCUUGUUAACAUCAUAUUCUCUGGAUAAAAAUCGUCUGCAAUUCCUUAUCCGAGAAGAGAGGAGACAAGGAAUUGAGGAAGCAUUCAAAGUUCCACAUCAGGUGCAAUGCCGUGCCCGCCAUUGCUUUACUGCAAAUAAUAUAUUACUCCAUUUUUUUUUUCUUUUUUUUUUUUUUCUGUAGUGAAUAUUCUAUUAAGUGACAAGGGGAUGAAUCUGAAUUUGCUUACGCAUUCGAAUAGGAAGUCAAAUUUUGAAAACUGGCUCAAUAUUCUCCUGGACCAUGAAUGAAUUCCUGUAACAGUCUCACACCAUCCAACCAAGGGGUGUGGGGCUCAACCAAUGGUUGGUAUGAGAUUGUUACAGGUCAUGGUCAAGAGAGGAAUCGGUCUCCUCUCUAUCUACAGUGUCAUAGAUUAUAUAGGAUUGAAAUAAUUGAGUGGUGGUGAUAGCUACUUUUACUAUUUGAUAAUCCUUAUACACCUCUUCAAGUCACUAGGUUGUUUGACUUUCACUUCAGUGGGAAAUGUUUGGUGAAAUGUAUCAAUUAGACCUUAAAAACAAAGAAUAUAUAUAUAUAGAGAGAGAGAGAGAGAGAGAGAGGAGAGAGAGGAGAGAGAGGAGAGAGAGAGAGAGUGGCACAGUAUUUGCACAUCCAAGCUAAUGUCUAUAUCACCAAAGUGGUGAACUAAAAAAUUGUUACUUUCAUAUCAUAUCCUAUGAAAUAUAAAGAAGUGGAUGCUAUGGCUCAUUUUAAAAUGUGUAAUUGCUCAGCAAAUAAUCAAUAGG